GUUCCUGUAGCCCAUUGGAUAGUGCUUUGGACUUCUAAUUCAAGGGCGGUGGGUUCUAAUCCCACCAGAGAUG